GGUGAUGAUACAGAUGAAGCCAAGCCUGAUCCUUCUGAAACCUUAGCCCCCACAUCAGCCACCUGCCAGUGAUUAUUUUUUUAACUUGGAGGAAAAAGUAGAUAUAAAUCACUUGGUGUGUCUGACAAUUUUUUAUUGAGGGGAUUUAUAGAAUCACAGGCUCAGAAGAGAAGCCAAGAGCCUGGAGAGUUGUUCUCCUGCCUUGGGGUAAGUUAGCAGUUGGCUUCCUGGGUAGACUGGCUCACUUUUCUUACUAUAGUUUUUCAGAAUAAAAGAUUAUAUUCCUCAUUCUGCACAAAGGAUUAUAAUGUUCAGUAAUCCUCACAGCCGGGAUAUUUUUCCUUUAACCCCCCUGAGAAUUAGAGUUGGAAACCAUUGGCUUCUCAUUUGAAUAAACCUCGGUUCCUGAAAAGUCUUGGCAUGAGUAUGUGGAGUCAUCUGUGACCUUUGAAGACAUCAUCUGUUUUGGACACAGAUAAGUCUGUGUUUCUAUCAUUUUAGUGAGGUUUUUUUUUGAUACUUUCUCCAGGUGCCCGGGAUCAGAUCUGGAACGGCCACCCCUACCUUUUUCCCAUGGGCAGAAUGGCCCAAAUGCAAAGAGGACAGAUUUCCUAAGAAUGGGAGUGUGUGGAAAAGACGGAUGGCCUCCUCUGCACCUGACAGCUUCCCACUGACAACAUCUGUGAAGGGAGGAGAGGUAUUUACUUUGAGAUCCUAUUUGUGUCACUAGCAAAUCAGAUGUAGACUUGAACGGCAUCUGUGGAAGUGAAGGCAGAGGCUCUAAAUCUGCUUUCUCCUUCAGCCCUGCGGCCACCAUGUCCCUCACUCUUGACGUUGGGCAGAGUUUGCUUUAUCAUUAAGUCUCUGGUGGUGAAACCAACUGCCUACAGCUUGUCAGGCCAAAAAAACCCUCCUGGCAGGGUCCCAUGACUGCAUGGGGUGGGAAGAACCCCAGUUCUUGGUGGGUGUGUCUUUUCCAUUGACAUUUUAGUCCCUGGCCCACUUCAGUCCAUCUCAGGGACAACAAGACUAGAACUGGAAUAUGAUGAGUUGUUAAGCUCAGAGUCUGAUGGACAACUCAGAUUCGAGCUCUUCUUUACAAUGAAAAAUAUGUGUUCCUAGUAAUAUAGAUGCCUGUGACCUUCACACGAGAUUUCUUCCCAGUAACAGUUCAGAUCUAGAAUCUGAAGUUGCUCAGAGAACUCAGAAGUGAAAACUUUUACAAAAAAUCUCCUCCUCUUAAAAAGACCAGAAUUUAAAAACUGAGUUUUGACCUACUGAACUCUUAUUAUGUACUAUGCAAAUAAGACAUGCUACCUGUCUUCAAGAGCCUAGCCUUGCCAGAGAGGACCUUCACGUAUGUGAUGUAUGAUGCUAAAUAAAUGCCAUGGGGAGGUGUUCUGAGCCAGGCAAUGUCUGAGAGGGGUCUUGAAAGAUGAGUGGGCUGCAGUUAGGUAACAGGAGAAGAAGGGCCGGGGGAGGUGGUGAGGUAAGGGUGAACCACUUCUCCAGGGAACUGCAAGUGGUCCCGUGAGGCAGGAUUCAGAGUGCAAGGUGGGAAUGAUACAAUGUGACAUUCCAUAGACAGGAUGAAGGGCAGACCUAAAGCAUUAGAGUUUGAGCCUGAAGGCAAUUAGGAAUCAUUACACAAUAAGGAUCGCCUCCUGUUUGUGACUUUAAAAGCCAUUUGGGUGGUGGAGGGAGAGGCUUACAUAAGAAUGAAUUGGUGAAGACAAAGUUGGAGGUAGAGAAACUGGAAAAUUCUUGAAAUAACAUGAGAGAUUGGUGUGAACUCAGGUAGUAGCAAGGGGAUGGAGACGGAUGAGUUGGUACCAUAUUAUGGAGACGAAUUAAUGGUUUCUCUGAUUGGCUGUUACAGCUGUGGGAAAAGAAAUCAAGGGAGAAGUAGCUCCAAAUUGUGGUCACUGAGGAGAAGGUACUGAGGUCAGUUUCAGAGGUAGGAAUUGUGAGAUGUGUAUGGGGCAUCCCAGGGGCAGUGUCCAGCAUUGGUCUGGAUCAUCUGGGUCUGGGUCGUGACUCACUGGUCACUGAGCCAUCUGCAUGUACGAGUAGGUGAAAUCACCCAUCGCUUGUGCAGAGGAGCAGAGAAUGUGCACUCUGCCCUUGCUUCAUGCUGGAGCACAGCCCUUCAGGGUCUCAUCCAGUGUGCAGCAUUGACAAUACUGUUCUCUCCUGGCACCGACGGACACGCACUUACAUUCCUCCUCUGUUUUCUGGACUUCACAAAAUCACAACUUCCAUUAUUAAAAUCUCACCUAUACCUUAUAGUUCAUUUUAGUUCUCAGGAGGAUGUGGGAAAAUGUCUUUUUUUUCUGGGAACAUAAACAGAUGCCUUAAUUUGGGUAUUAGCUAUGCCCAGACACCAAAGUGAAAUGAUGUAUGAUGAUGCCUUUGGGACAGCUACACUGAGUGACAAAUCCUUGCUUCGUUUCCAGAUGUGGAGGUGGAUUGUUUUCUGUUAAUUCUGUUCCCUGACUGCCAGAACUAGAUUCCGAGCCCUUUGUCACUAUUUUUGUUUCCACAGAAUAGUCUCCAUAUCUGUUUGUCUCUGACCGCUGGUGGAUUGUUGUGAACGUUUACAUAAUGGGCAUGGGAGGAGGAUGGCUUUCAAAACUUGAUUUUCCAAGGCCUGACAAAAGAGUAAAUAUUUUUAGAUUUUUGAGAAACAUAAUUCAGAGCAGCAAAUAAAUGUCUUAGUGUUCUGAGGGAUUCAAAUGUUCUAAAUGAGGACACUCUCAAGUAGCAUCUGUGCCUGUCUCUUCACCACGUCCCUAAUUCCCUUUGAGGCACAGUGAAGCAAGAUCACUCUGAGCACCGAUUGCUUCUCUUCUGAAAUAAGUGAGUGCUAGCAGGUCUCCCAAUUUGCAGGUGCUGUUUUGUUGAGUCAAAGAAUACUCCAAGUAGGAGCAUUGGCAUGCUGGAGAGGAGCGCCUACACCUCUGCAGUGGGACUCUCUGGAGGAGCCACGUGUUUCCCAAAUCUUUUGGAAUGGAUAGGAUGCAAUUCCAUGCCCAUUUUGUGCCUUUUUAAUUUUGCUCAAUUUGAGACCUCUGGGGUGGACUUGUCUACAAGAUGUGAGCCCACCCCAGAAAAAUCUCGGUUCUUAUGCCAUUUCUCUUCCUCCCUCCACUAGUGAAGACUGGACACAUCUCUGCCUUCACAGGUGAGGGGUGUGGGGGCAGGAUGGAGUUGCUGAUGUGAACUGGACUUUUAUGACUCAACCCUGGCUAGUUUGACUUUAGGGACAUGGUUUCUGUACUAAUAACAAAUGCUGUCAAUCAAAGCAUCAUAUCGAAGGGUACAGUGUUAGAGUCUGUAAACAAGUCAAAAUAACACUAACAGUACAGAACCUUGUAUCUAGAAUAUUCUUUAUUUAGAUGGAAAAAAAGUAUCAGAAUAAAAAAACAAGACUUGUGUCCCAGUGAGUUGAUUUUUACUCUGGAGAGAGUGGCUGAUUGGAAAUAGGUGGGGGGGGGGGGGGGAGGCAGAGCACAAGCUACCUCUAAGUAGAAAUGGGGAGGGGGGUGGUCAAAAAUGAGUUCUGGGGACAGACUUCUAUUCAAAAGGAAGGACAUAUGAAUUCAUUUUGGAAUUCUAAGAGGUGCUGGAAACAGAAAUUUAAAAACUGUAAAGAUGACCUAGAGUUUUGUUAAGAAGUAUCUGGUUUGGCUUUUGUACCCAAGCAGUCAACUGCGCAGCUUAAGAAAUGGCUGAAUCCUUUCAACCAAAGUAGAGAAUGAUUAAUGCAGAAACAGCAGCCUAGCAUUAAUGGCAGCAUCAGGACAAGUGAUGGUGGCAGGCAGCUUUCCGGGCACCGGACACAAAGGUGACUAAAACAGUAAGAGAAAGAACUCAGGGGCAUUGUGGUGUGUAUCUGCAUACAAUCUUGUGCAAGCUGGAGCAAGCAGCAGGUAACCACAGUGAUCUGAAAGCUAAGAGCAGUCCCAACGAAUGACUGUCUCUCCUGACAUUAUUCCCAGGCUCAGGCAGCCUGAGAAAUCAGUUUUUACUCUAGGUUAUACGCACCACUACGGAGAGCAUGUUUUAGGUCCUUGUUUCUCUCUGACUGUACCUCUCUCUAUAACUCUCUCUGUCUCUCUUCUGUGUCUCCUCUGUUUCUCAUACAAGUGUGCACAAUGCUCAGACUUUCAGGUUAUGAGACUUUUUUGGAGGCUACAUGACUUCUCUAAAAGAUCCAGAAUUUUGGAGGUCUAGAGCUGGGGUCUGGGGUUUGAACGCAUGUGAUUUAUACACAGGUGGCUCUUUGGAGAAGCAGAAAGAGGUAAGUAAGAUAGAGCAGGUGUUAUGGUUUAGAUAUGAAGUGUUCCCCGAAACUGAUGUGUGGGACAAUGCAGGAAUGUUCAGAGGUGAAAUGAUUAAAUUAUAAGAGCUGUAACCUAAUCGGUGGAUUAAUACAUUUGAUAGAUUAAUAAUUUGAAUGGAUUAAUGGGUGAGAACUGUAGCAGGUAGUUCAUGACUGGAGGAAGCAGGUCGCUGGGAGAGUGCCUUUGGGAAUUAUAUUAUCCCUGAUUCGUUAUUCCUUGCACUCAAGUCUCAUAUUCUCUCUCUCUCUCUCUCUCUCUCUCUCUCUCUCCUUCCUGGCUGUCGUGAACUGAGCAGUCUUCCUCCACUGCGCCCUUCUUCCGUGAUGUCCUGCCUCAGCUCAGGGCACAGCUAUGGGGUCGGCCCACCAUGGACUGAGCCUCUGGAACCUAGAGCCAAAAUAAACUUGUCCUCCUCUUAGUUGUUCGUAUCAGGUCUUGUGGUCACAGUGACACAAAGGUGACUAAAACAGCAAGAGAAAGAACUCAGGAAGCGUUUCGUGUCAGCUGGACUCCACAGAAGCUGUGGAACAUCAGUGGCGCCCAGUGUAGGGGUGGGCAGGGCUUAUUGUCUUGGGGAGUCUGCUUCUAUUCAUGGGUAAUUCUUCUGAGAAGAGCACUAUCCAACACCCACAAAUGUUGGGACAUGAGGAUUCUCACCCAGAAAAGAGGAUCUAGGUGGAUGCUGCCACAGACUCUACCCUUUUUUUUUUGCAGACUGAGUAACUGAGAUUCAAGAUACGCAUUGCACUGGCUACCUAACCAGUCAGUGACACAGCACGAACUCAGAAUUAGUGAGCAGAGAUCACAGCAUGGUCUCCCCAUUUCAUCCCAUCUAUGCAUGAGACUCCGGGCCCUCUGGUAGUGUUGGUCCCCAAAACCAAUAUUAAAGCCUGCAUGAAUCCUGGCUCUGGCUGAGGCCAGCACAGAAGGGUGAAGAUUAUUUUAUAUUAUUGGAAUACAGUUCUCCAUGGAUCUCUUACGCUUCCAUAUGUCUUGUGAGGAAAGACACUGACUGCUGUUAUUCCUGACCAUCUUUUCAAUGAUAUUUGUUUAGCCAACAGCCUUGGGAGACAGGGACAGUGUCUUUCCCAGGCAAGGGGAGGCAUGCUUCCUAUUCUACAAGGUUUGGAUUCAUUAAGCUCAGCUGUCAUCUCUCAUAGCAUAAUACACAGAGUAUGUCCUCUAAGCAGUGCCUUCUAAAAUUGGGCUCAGGGAACUGAUGUAAAAGUAGGAUAUUCUGGCU
rnacentral:lncRNA from 1 species